GACGAACGCUGGCGGCGUGCUUAACACAUGCAAGUCGAACGGAAAGGCCCUGCUUUUGUGGGGUGCUCGAGUUGCGAACGGGUGAGUAACACGUGAGUAACCUGCCCUUGACUUUGGGAUAACUUCAGGAAACUUGGGCUAAUACCGGAUAGGAGCUCCUGCUGCAUGGUGGGGGUUGGAAAGUUUCGGCGGUUGGGGAUGGACUCGCGGCUUAUCAGCUUGUUGGUGGGGUAGUGGCUUACCAAGGCUUUGACGGGUAGCCGGGCUGGGAGGGUGACCGGCCACAUUGGGACUGAGAUACGGCCCAGACUCCUACGGGAGGCAGCAGUGGGGAAUAUUGCACAAUGGGCGGAAGCCUGAUGCAGCAACGCCGCGUGCGGGAUGACGGCCUUCGGGUUGUAAACCGCUUUCGCCUGUGACGAAGCGUGAGUGACGGUAAUGGGUAAAGAAGCACCGGCUAACUACGUG
rnacentral:rRNA from 1 species